GAUGAAGAACGCAGCGAAAUGCGAUAAGUAAUGCGAAUUGCAGAAUUCAGUGAGUCAUCGAAUCUUUGAACGCACAUUGCGCCCUGUGGUAUUCCGCAGGGCAUGCCUGUUCGAGCGUCAUUUCAACCCUCAAGCCUCGCUUGGUGUUGGGCCCUGCCCGCCGCGGCCGGCCCUAAAGAUAGUGGCGGCGCCGCCUGGCCCCCAGCGUAGUACAGCUCUCGCUCCAGGGUCCGGCGGCAGCCUGCCAGAACCCCCCAACUCUGUGGUUGACCUCGGAUCAGGUAGGGAUACCCGCUGAACUUAAGCAUAUCAAUAAGCGGAGGA
rnacentral:misc_RNA from 1 species